rnacentral:tRNA from 1 species
GGGCGAGUGGCGGAAUUGGUAGACGCGCAGGACUCAAAAUCCUGUGGUAGCAAUAUCAUGAGGGUUCGAUUCCCUCCUCGCCCA